ACUACAUGAAGCUGGAAUCGCUAGUAAUCGCGAAUCAGAAUGUCGCGGUGAAUACGUUCCCGGGUCUUGUACACACCGCCCGUCACACCAUGGGAGAUGGAUAUGCCCGAAGUCAGUGACCUAACCGAAAGGGAGGAGCUGCCGAAGGUGGAGCCAUUAACUGGGGUGAAGUCGUAACAAGGUAAC
rnacentral:rRNA from 1 species